AGAGUUUGAUCCUGGCUCAGGACGAACGCUGGCGGCGUGCUUAACACAUGCAAGUCGAGCGGAAAGGCCCUUCGGGGUACUCGAGCGGCGAACGGGUGAGUAACACGUGAGCAAUCUGCCUUGGCUUCGGGAUAGCUCCGGGAAACCGGAAUUAAUACCGGAUAUGACUGUGGCCGGCAUCGGCUGUGGUGGAAAGUUUU
rnacentral:rRNA from 1 species